AAAUUGAAGAGUUUGAUCAUGGCUCAGAUUGAACGCUGGCGGCAGGCCUAACACAUGCAAGUCGAACGGUAACAGGAAGCAGCUUGCUGCUUCGCUGACGAGUGGCGGACGGGUGAGUAAUGUCUGGGAAACUGCCUGAUGGAGGGGGAUAACUACUGGAAACGGUAGCUAAUACCGCAUAACGUCGCAAGACCAAAGAGGGGGACCUUCGGGCCUCUUGCCAUCGGAUGUGCCCAGAUGGGAUUAGCUUGUUGGUGGGGUAACGGCUCACCAAGGCGACGAUCCCUAGCUGGUCUGAGAGGAUGACCAGCCACACUGGAACUGAGACACGGUCCAGACUCCUACGGGAGGCAGCAGUGGGGAAUAUUGCACAAUGGGCGCAAGCCUGAUGCAGCCAUGCCGCGUGUAUGAAGAAGGCCUUCGGGUUGUAAAGUACUUUCAGCGGGGAGGAAGGGAGUAAAGUUAAUACCUUUGCU
rnacentral:rRNA from 1 species